GGGUUGUCAGGCUGGCUGACCGGUUUUGUGCGCGGGUCUGUGGCCGGGAAAGGGGCCUGCGUCUGCCCGGGGGGUGCGAGGGCGUCGGUGCGCCUGAAUCCGGUCAUCCGUGGGUGGGGCGAAUCCGUGUGUGCAAGUGGGAAAGACUGUCCGCCCCUGUCUGGGUAGGUUUGUAAAUAGGGACAGUUCCGCACUUACCCCAGUUUGUGACUGGAAAAGGGGUCAGAAGGUAAGUAAGCGCGUGCGUGAUUGUGCGGGGAUCCUAUAGCCAGGGGACGUUUCCUGAGCGCGUUUCGCGGAGCCUUAAGCACAUUAGGGUACAGGCCUAGGCCUUACGGAGGGAGCCCAGACCCACCUUCUACCAGGCAACCAGCAGAUGAACAGGAUCUGUGGAUCUGUGGUGGCCAGAGCCCUACCCAGAGAAUGUGAGUUGGAAGGAAGCAAAAAUUUGGUAGAAUCCUGAAGGAGAGAAUGUGGUGACCCAGCAGAGUAGAGCGAAAAGUUUUCUUUGAAGAGGGAACUGCACGUGCAAAGGCCCAGAGAUUAAAGGAAUCUGGUGAGUUUGAGGAAUUUCCAACUCCUAAUGAACUUGUCUCCAUACCUAGCAGCCUUUCCUUCCGGGCAUCAGAACUGACUGCUGCUACCAGCCAAUCAGCAUUUUGUAUUUUCCAGACUCCUGUUAUUGAGUCAGGGAUGAGCAUAUGACCCCAGCCUAUCCAGUCAGACUCUCUUCAGGGACUUCUUGAAAGGGAAGAUUGGAAAAGAAGCCUCCUUUUUUGGGUGGGGGUCGCUGAGACAUGAUGAUGGAUGUGUGGCCUGCCUGGAAUCUGAUAGUCUUUGUAUCACACAUUUAUUUAAUCCUGUUGACAGCCCCUGAGAUAAAUAUUAUUGUCUCCAUCAUACAGAUGAAGACUUUCAGGUUGGAGAAAUGUCUUCGUUUGGUCAUAAGGCAGUGAGUGUGCUCAAGAACCUUAGAGUCCUUUACUGGAGAAGUUGGAACAAAGGGGGGAAAUCCUGUUAAGCAGUGACCCUUGUUCCUUCCAUGCAUCUCUCACACUUCAGUGGUCAGGUAUGAAAGGAAUCUUCUGGGAUAUUGGGGGUUUGAGCCCUUCCUGCUCAGCUUAAGAUCUGGGAUGUGGGCAAGGACCCCAAAGGCCAGCAGAGUACCAAAGCAGAUUCCACCUCCUGCUGAGAUCUGGUUUCAGGCAAAAAGAUGAGAAAGCUGCCUACAUAUGUAUUCAAAUGAGUCAGGGGCAGACUGGUUGCCCUUAUCUUUCUGAUGUUUCUCACAGACAUUUAGCUAUUGAAAUUAUUAUAACAGUUUUUUUUUAAAGGUGGAUCAAAGAGUUAAGUGUUAAAAAAAAAAAAAGUAAUAAGUAGGGCUGGGGAUGUGGCUCAAGCGGUAACGUGCUCGCCUGGCAUGUGCGAGGCCCUGAGUUCGAUCCUCUGCACCACAUAAAAAUAAAAUAAAGAUGUUGUGUCCACCGAAAACUAAAAAAUAAAAAAUUCUCUCUCUCUUUUUUUUUAAAGUAAUAAGUUGCGUGCAAUGAUGCUUACCUAUAAUCCC
rnacentral:lncRNA from 1 species